UACGUAGGGCGCAAGCGUUAUCCGGAAUUAUUGGGCGUAAAGAGCUCGUAGGCGGUUUGUCGCGUCUGCUGUGAAAACCCGAGGCUCAACCUCGGGCCUGCAGUGGGUACGGGCAGACUAGAGUGCGGUAGGGGGAGAUUGGAAUUCCUGGUGUAGCGGUGGAAUGCGCAGAUAUCAGGAGGAACACCAAUGGCGAAGGCAGAUCUCUGGGCCGUAACUGACGCUGAGGAGCGAAAGCAUGGGGAGCGAACAGG
rnacentral:rRNA from 1 species